CCGGGUAGUAGCAGCGGACUAGGGGAAAUAUACCAAUUUGAAAUCUUUUAAGAAAAUAUUAUAUAAAUGUCAUCAAUAUCUGAAAUUGAAAGAACACAACAGGUGGCAAAGUUUUGGAUGUGGCGGAUACAGUGGAUGGUGAGAGUGGCCUUGGUGAUCGUUUUCACAAUACCCCAGGCAAUAUCGUCUGUGGUUGAAGUUGGACCCUUCGGCCCCGAACUAAGCCUGACCAGCCAAAAUCAUUCUGUCCACCCAUACGGGAUUUCGACUGUUCUGUCUACAGAAAAGUAACGACCUGGCUCUUCUUUA